CUAACAUGGUGGUUGAAGUAUUAGGUGUUGAACUUUCUUAGUGGCGAACGGGUGAGUAACGCGUGGGCAACCUGCCCUCUAGAUGGGGACAACAUCCCGAAAGGGGUGCUAAUACCGAAUGUGACAGCAAUCUCGCAUGAGGAUGCUGUGAAAGAUGGCCUCUAUUUAUAAGCUAUCGCUAGAGGAUGGGCCUGCGUCUGAUUAGCUAGUUGGUGGGGUAACGGCCUACCAAGGCGAUGAUCAGUAGCCGGUCUGAGAGGAUGAACGGCCACAUUGGGACUGAGACACGGCCCAGACUCCUACGGGAGGCAGCAGUGGGGAAUCUUCCGCAAUGGGCGAAAGCCUGACGGAGCAAUGCCGCGUGAGUGAUGAAGGAAUUCGUUCCGUAAAGCUCUUUUGUUUAUGACGAAUGUGCAGGUUGUGAAUAAUGAUCUGUAAUGACGGUAGUAAACGAAUAAGCCACGGCUAACUACGUGCCAGCAGCCGCGGUAAUACGUAGGUGGCGAGCGUUGUCCGGAAUUAUUGGGCGUAAAGAGCAUGUAGGCGGUUUUUUAAGUCUGGAGUGAAAAUGCGGGGCUCAACCCCGUAUGGCUCUGGAUACUGGAAGACUUGAGUGCAGGAGAGGAAAGGGGAAUUCCCAGUGUAGCGGUGAAAUGCGUAGAUAUUGGGAGGAACACCAGUGGCGAAGGCGCCUUUCUGGACUGUGUCUGACGCUGAGAUGCGAAAGCCAGGGUAGCGAACGGGAUUAGAUACCCCGGUAGUCCUGGCCGUAAACGAUGGGUACUAGGUGUAGGAGGUAUCGACCCCUUCUGUGCCGGAGUUAACGCAAUAAGUACCCCGCCUGGGGAGUACGUCCGCAAGGAUGAAACUCAAAGGAAUUGACGGGGGCCCGCACAAGCGGUGGAGGAUGUGGUUUAAUUCGACGCAACGCGAAGAACCUUACCAAGGCUUGACAUUGAAUGACCGCUCCAGAGAUGGAGCUUUCCCUUCGGGGACAUGAAAACAGGU
rnacentral:rRNA from 1 species